CGUUCUUAGUUGCUUGUUUGCGUCCAGGCUUCUUAAACUUCGGUUUCUUGUGUUGAGUUGUCCAAGUUACAGUUCUACCCAAGUUUUGUUAUUGAUAAUAGCUUGAUUUUCCUCAAAAACUCUAAGUAUUAGUCCAACGCCCCCCACCCCCACACAUGCUCUCUCCUCAAAGACCCUCUCUAGCAAGUGUUCUUUGCCCACUGAAAACCCUCAAAUACCUAAUCUCACCUCCCUCCUCUCCAACGCCUUUCUUACAGUUUCUCUCCUCAAUUCGGUCCUCUAUCAUUCUUAUCAAUUAUUGCCUGCAUUUUCAUUUUCGAUUCUUUUUUAUUCUCAAUCUCAUGCUUAAAACCCCCUAAUUUUCAGCUCGAAUUUGGUGUUUUUUUGACGAAAUUGGAGUUCUAUAAGGAAUUAGGUUAGACAAAGAGUGAAUUAAAAUCAACAAUGAAGAGGAGAUAAUGAGCGAUUUAGAGAUGAAUCCAGUUUCAAAUUCGUAUUCGUUAGUUUUAGGGUUAUCUCAGCAAGUAGUUGGAUGCUCUUUAAUAUCUAAGAAGAAGCAAAUUUUCUUGCUAGGAGUUAUAUGAUAUUGUCAACACAAGAAGUUGAAGAUUUCAUAGGAAUUCUUUUCUGCCUCUUUUUGGAAAGGCAAUUACUAGGCUUAAAUGGAGCUUUGCAUAAUUGCUUGCGAUCAGCUAUCAACUUCUCUGAGGAGAAAGAAUGGAAUGGAAGCUGUGAGGAAGUUGUAAAAUCAAUUGCAGACAGGUGUGGAGGUGUAGAAGAUGCUCGAAAAAUUAUAAAGAAAUCUGGGAUAUCCAAUCUCAAUGUGAUAUCCUGCAAGAGAGAUAUUUGACUCGUUAAAAGACCGCGAUAUGGUUGCCUGGACAUCAAUGAUAGUAGGCUAUGAGCAGAAUUAGGGGUCGCAAUUAUUAGCUAGUUGUUUAUACUUGUGUCAUGGCAUAUUAAUUUUUAUUUGAUUAAUAAAAUUUCACUUUAUAUCCUUUUUAUUCGUUCUUUUGAUUUUUAUAAAAGUAGUCUUAGGGGCUGCCACACUAAAAGCUACUUGUAUAAGUACCUGCUAGAGCUGUACAAUUUUUUUUUAGAAAAAAAAACUAUAAAAUACUCCGGUUGUUAAGAAAAAACCGGAGCAUUUAACAAACAAAUGCUCCGGUUUUGUCUAAAUAACCGGAGCAUUUGACUGUCAAAUGCUCCGGUUUUUUUAGUGUAAGGCUAUGUGCAAGGUUUCAAGCCAAUCCAAAGGAAUCUCAUCUCACAACGGUGAAGAGAAUCCUAAGAUACCUCAAAGGAACAAAUGAUUUGAGCCUAUUCUAUUCAAGAAGUGAUACCUUUGAACUAAAAGGAUUCGCAGAUGCUGACUAUGCAGGAGAUCUGGUCAAUAGAAAAAGUACAUCAGGUAUGGUUUAGUUCCUUAGUCAUAGUUUGGUUUCUUGGAGUACCAAGAAGCAAAACACAGUUGCUUUAUCUACAACUGAGGCUGAAUAUGUUGCAGCAGCAGCAUGUUGUUCCCAAAUGCUAUGGAUAAAACAACAACUUCGUGACUAUGGAAUUUACUUUGAGUGUGUUCCCAUCUAUUGUGAUAAUACUAGUGCAAUUAGUAUUUCUAAAGAUCCCGUGCAUCAUUCUAGAGUUAAGCAUAUCCAUAUUAGGCAUCAUUUUCUAAAGGAUAAUGUUGAGAAGGGCCUUAUUAAAAUGGAAUUUUGUGAAACUGAACGUCAGAUUUUUGAUAUUCUGACCAAGCCCUUAAAUAGAGAUAGAUUUGAAAAACUGAGACUUGAACUUAGCUUGAUUAAGUUGAAAUAAUUGCUAUAAUCUUUUUCCCUAUUGGUCUGACUCUUUGGCAUUAUGUAUGUGUGAAUAAAUUUGAUGUUUUUAUUUGUUUAAAAUGCAUCACAAUCUUUAUAUGAUUAUUUCAUAUGUAUAAGUAAAAAUGUCUGCAAACUGCUGACCAAGGUCCAAUAAUAUUCCCCUUAUUGUUCAUAAGACAAUUCUAUGCCUUAAGAGUUGACAAGGAAUUAAAUGAUUAAUUGUGUUCCAAAGUAGCAAAAUUUGUUGUUUCCAGUUGCUGUUCCCAAACGCUGUUCCCAGCGUAAUAAAUCUAGGAUUUAUUUUCAAAAUUUCGAAAUUCAAAAUCAAAAUCCAAAAAUAUUUUGUUCAGAUUUUUACUCUUAAAGAAAUCUGAUCCUAAUCCCUUUAUUCUCUCCUAAUAUCUCUCAAAUUAGUUGGGAAAUAUUAUCUUUAAUUUCUUUAUUUAAUUUUCUUUGUUUUUUUUUUCUCUUCGAACCGUGUACAAUACACGGUUAAGUUUUUUUUUUUACUUUUCACCUUCCUUCAUUACUCCCUAGUUUUCCCCGUAAACAAAAAAAUUACACCUUUUCACCUCAAACAAAACUGAAAAAUCUCCUAAAAUCAUGAACACCAAACAAACCUCUCAUUCUCUCUCUAGCCAAAAACCCGAAAAACCCUCUCCCUCUUCCACUCAAACCGAAUCUCCAACUCCCAUGGAUAUCUCUCCCAAUCCAUCAAAAAGGAUCUUAAGAAAGAGGAAGCAAACUGAAGAAACUUGGGAAAUGGAAGUGGAGGAAUCACAUACAAAUGUUGAGGGGGAAUCGACGGUUCCUGUGAGAGGAACAACCAAGGUUGUAAAAAGAAAAUCCAUCGCAACAUGAUCAAAGGAUGAUGAUUUAGGUCAACAUGUACUUCAACCUCGUCAAUCAUUUUCUUGGAAAUUCAGUGGGAAUAUUUUUAAUUCCACCCUUUUUUGGUGCGAUGUUUGGUCCAUAAAAUAUGGUCAUACUUAUAGUGUAGUUUACACUAUGAAAGAUCAUUUUUAUCAUUAUUGUAAUUAUGAUGAUUGUACUUGGACUAUAAAUGAGCAAGGGAUUAAUGUAAUAGAUCUUAAGACUAAUAAACCUGUGCUUUGGCAUAAGUGGAAUGAGAAGCCACCUACCAAAAGAAAUAUGUAGACCCAUAUUAGCCUCUAUAAGUAUAAGGUCGAUCUCUAUGAAUGUAAUAACGAAGAAGAUACUCUUGUUCUAUAUUCAAAUUAUUCAUUUCAAGAAAGGCAAUCAUGUUAUGUAGACUUCCAAAUCUAUUUAUGCUAAUGAUAAGUUUGAAUUUUUAUUGAU